CAUGCCUAUAAUUCCAGUUAUUCGGGAUGCUGAGGCAGGAGAAUCACUUGAACCUGGGAAGUGGAGGUUGCAGUGAGCCGAGAUGGUGCCACUGCACUCCAGCCUGGGCGUGAGACUCCAUCUCAAAAAAAAAAAAAAAAAAGUCAGUACAAAUCCCAGAUGUACUGAGUCAAAUUGAGUGAGAACUUCUGUAAGUGAGCCGAGGCACGGGGAGCAGGAAGACAUUCCCAGCUGGUGUGGACACGCCUGGGCCGAAGAACUUCUGCUUUAAAUACAUGCAGCUCACAACACCUCCGGGCCCAGUGACAGUAACUGUGUGGGUGUGUUACUGUUCUGUAGAGACAUAUUGAACUAAUUAUUAUAUAAUUAUACUGUGAUGAUUAAUAAUAUGGUUAAUUUUACUAAUUGUGUAUAUUCUUAUUUUAUAGAAACUUAAGCAAGAUAUCAAGGCGUUUUGUUCUUCUUCUCGGGCACUCUUAAGAGAUUAUCAGGAUGCGUUUCAGGACUGCGUUUCUGAAUAGUGACUGCUGUGCAGAGAACGCCACGGAGCAGCGAGACGCUGCGAGCGUGCCAGUCAAAGGUGAUGCACCUGGAGCGGGCCUUGCAGGACGUCAGCGCACGUCACCAGCUGGAGAGGCAAAGGAGGAAGGUCCUGCACAACAGCCUGCUGCUGGGCGCAGGUGUCGUGGGAGACCCACGAGGGACACGCAGAAGCCCCUCUCGGGAGGGUGCUGGGCAGGAAGGACAGCGGGGCAGCCUGGCCAGACGGCAGAGGGGCAGAGCCACGGCGGCUGUGACUGGUGUCCCCUUAACCCAGGCGGCGAUGGCAGCUGGAGGAGGGGUG
rnacentral:lncRNA from 1 species